UUCCGGUUGAUCCUGCCGGAGGACAUUGCUAUUGGGAUUCGAUUUAGCCAUGCUAGUCGAGCGAGUUUAGACUCGCGGCGAAUAGCUCAGUAACACGUGGCCAAGCUCCCCUUCAGUCAGCGAUACCCUCGGGAAACUGAGGUUAACAGCUGAUACAAAACGUUUGCUGGAAUGCGGCGUUUCAGAAAGACUACGCUGAAGGAUGCGGCUGCGGCCGAUUAGGUAGACGGUGGGGUAACGGCCCACCGUGCCAGUAAUCGGUACGGGUGAUGAGAGUCAGAGCCCGGAGACGGAAUCUGAGACAAGAUUCCGGGCCCUACGGGGCGCAGCAGGCGCGAAACCUUUACACUGCACGGAAGUGCGAUAGG
rnacentral:rRNA from 1 species